UGAGGAAUCUUGCGCAAUGGGGGCAACCCUGACGCAGCAACGCCGCGUGAGUGAGGAAGGUCUUCGGAUCGUAAAGCUCUGUCGGAUGGAAAGAACCGCAUAGGGGUAAAUAGCCCUUGUGUCUGACGGUACCAUCAGAGGAAGCACCGGCUAACUCCGUGCCAGCAGCCGCGGUAAUACGGGGGGUGCAAGCGUUGUUCGGAAUUAUUGGGCGUAAAGAGCGUGUAGGCGGCCGGAUAUGUCAGAUGUGAAAGCCCUGGACUUAACCCAGGAAGUGCAUUUGAAACUGUUCGGCUUGAGUAGGGGAGAGGGAAGUGAAAUUCCUGGUGUAGAGGUGAAAUUCGUAGAUAUCAGGAGGAACACCGGUGGCGAAGGCGGCCAUCUGGACGGACACUGACGC
rnacentral:rRNA from 1 species